rnacentral:lncRNA from 1 species
GCUGCAUGACACAGGCGUUCAUGGCAGUUACCUGCCAGCUCUUUCUAGGCAUGUGUUUCAUCGUCACUGAUAAGUCCUGGGAAUAGACUUGCUGUAGGGCUGAGGAAGCUUUUCAAAGUGAUUUUACUAUUGUACGUUCAACCAGCAAUGAAUUUGUUCCGUAGUUUGGCCAGCAUUUCUUGUGCCAGUCUUUGUUAGGUAACAAUCCCAGGAGAGAGAAGUGACUGUUGUUUUCCCGGAGCCUCAUUCUCAGCCGAGGGUGGGGAGUGUGGCUGGUGUUCAUUGCCCGGGGUCUUGCCUGUUUUGAUGUUUCCAAGUCUCUCACUCUGGUCGUUCAGUUGGGCUGUUCCCUUUCUAUGUGAGAAUCUAAGCUGUUGCUCAUGGGUGUGCUCUGUGGAGAUUUCCUACCGUCCUGUGAUCGUUCAUUUGUUGUUUAAGAUUUUAUUACUCUCUCUGUCCCUGUCUGGGUCUCUUGUUCUCCCUCUCUGUGUAUGUGUGUGUGGUGUAUGGGUGAGUGUGCAGAUGUGUAUGUAUCUGGUGGGUGUAUGGUAGUCAGAAGAUGGCUUUCAGGGUUUUUUUUCCUCCCUCCACCCUGAUGUCUGGGCAGUGCUUUAUCCACUGAGCCAUCUUGCUAGACUGUGUUCUUUUGUCUUUAAUGAUACCCAUCAUAGUUAAUUUUUCUGUUGCUGGGAUAAAAUACUCUGACAAUACAACUUAAAGGAGAAAGGGUUCUUGCUCAUUUAUGGCUGCGGGUUCCUACCUGUUAGGAUGAAGAAGCGGAAGGAGGUACUUGUAGCAGCUUCUAAAGACAAAUUAAGAGCCCAGCUUGCUGUCUCACACACAUAGCCUAGGCCCUAACGCGAAAUUAAGAGGUGUCUCCAGCUAUCAGUUAACAUAGUCAAGACAAUCCCCACAGCCAUGUCCAAGGCCCAUCACAGGUGAUUUUAGAAUCUGCCAAGUCUACAAUGAACACUGGCCAUGAUGGAUGGUGUCUUGUUUCUUUUAACUGUUUUAACACAAAUACUUAAGACAUCUUUUGAUUUGGAUGUGUGAAUGCAUAACUGUAUAAAUCUAACUAAGGAGUUUACUUCAUGUUUUUAUUACUGAUGGUUUAUAUAAUUUAUUAUAAAUAGUAAAUAUGUACUUCCUUAAAUAUAAAGAUUAUCUGUGUAAUACAGUUAGUGUUUAGACCAUGACUCUGUUUGCUUUGUCUUCUGUAGUCACAUGUUAACAGUGAUACUUGCCUUUCUUAUUUCAGAUAUUUAAUGAAAUUGCUUAGACAUGCCAAAUAUAUUAUCUAUUAGCUUAUGUAGAUAUUUUUAAUAGUGUUGAGGAAAUUCUUUUUAAUACUUUUCAAUUUGCAGUACAUACUGUAUUUGUUUCAGAUAUCUAUUACCAGCAUGUAGUUUUUCUAAUUUGUUCUAUGAGUGUGAUAGCAGUUUGCUCGAUUAAAAAGUCAUUGACUUCCAGAGCAAAUCCCAUUUGGCUUGGGUGCUGUGGAGUUCAAUCUGUUUAAUGUUUUUUUGUUUUAUGAUUUUUAUAUUUGUUUUCAAAAACGGGAUUAGAUUUCUUUCAUAAUGUGCUACACUUAUGUGAAUUAUUUACUGGCUUAUGAUAUUUAAUGUAAUAACUAGUCAGAGUUCAUCCCUUACUUUCCAAGAGUUUUAUGGACAUUUGAAAAACUUAAUGUAAAGUGUUUGUGCCCAAAGAGCCUUUUGAUCUAGGCAGAUUCUUUUAAUUUAUGCUAAAAAUAUUUACAUAAUUAUAGAUAUAAUCUGAUCUCUAUCUAAAAUGUCAACUAAAUUGUUUUAUUGGAAACCAAACUUCACCAACAUUUUAAUUAUUUGUAAUGCAAAAUAAUAGUUAUUCAUAGUAACCUUUGUAUUAAACAAUACUUUUAUAUAAAUAAUUGUCAUUCUAUGUAGAAAAGUAGGACAGUAGCUUUUUAGCAGAAUUCAGGAAGUAGAUGAUUUGUAAAUAUAUGUGAUGUAUACUAUUAUAGUAGUCUGGAUCUUUUUAUAUUACCCCCUCUUACCCUUUUAUUUAGAGAAAAGUCUAAUGCCAGGGAAAACACCAGCGAGUUCUAGAGUCCCGAAGUCUCUCCCCAGCUCUGACCUACCUACCUUCCUUCCUUCCUUCCUUCCUUCCUUCCUUCCUUCCUUUUUUAAGAAAUGCAGUCUCCCUCUUCUCUCCAGUGUUAGUUUGUUGGUGGGUUGCCUUUUCUCAUUGCACCUAGUUGCCCCUCUGUGCUCCAGUGACUUUGAUGGGGAAAAGAUCCUCAAUGAAGCUGCAGUUCUAAACUGAUGGACACUGAACUCUUUGGCAUUUGAUGUGCUCGCUGUCCUGUGACCAGUCUUACCUUUCCCUUUAUUUGUGAUGAUAACCCAGUCCUGCUUAAAUUUCACACUCAUACAACGUUCUCGGGCUUUACUUGGGGAAGACGCUGUGCCUCCUGAACACAGGUUCAUGUGCAUUUUGUUUAAUCUACCACGUGACAGUAAGUCAGAGGUGCAUUGUCUCCAUCUCUAAACACACAAUCCUGCAUUUCCUGAGAAAACAGGGCACGUAUAAAAAGAAGGUAGUUGUCAAACCAGGAGGAUUAGCAGUGGUGCCACGAGAUAGUCCGUUUCAUAGGGGGCAUCCAGAGUUCUUCAAUUACUCCAACACCACUGUAGUUAGAGGUUGCUGCUGUUCCUGCUCAGAGUCAAGUGUCCAGUCCAGGUUCUUGAGUUACAUUCAGUUUCCAUGUCUUUAGUUUGCUUUAAUCUUGAGCAUUUUCUCAUGUUAGAAUUAUUCAGCAAGGGUGUUCUGCUGUCUUAUCAGUUACCUUGCGUCAUAGCUAUUUGAAUGAUAGUAUUUCCUACUAGAUCCAGGGUCAGCUUCCACUCAUUUUUGUAACCCUCGCCCCUCCCAUAUUUGUAGAUGUGUGAGAGAGUGCUAAACAGGUGCUUGAAUGAAAAACAACAAAACCAAAAGACACCUUUGCAGAGUUCUAUUAGUUAUGCCAAGUUUUAUCCCGUACGUAGAAGUCUUACCUGGGAAUCUAACAGCUGAAUGGCCAGCUUUGUAUAAUGCUAGAUGAAUAUUCAUGUGCAUUAACUCUAACCUAUACAUUUAUUUAUGUUUGCCACAUUUCGUUCUCUGAAACAGAGGUACAUUUUAGCUGAUGGCUCUUAUAACUGAUCUGAGGCAUGUUUGAAGUAUUCCAUUAACCUCAUUCUAGGUAAAGCAAAAGGAAGAGCAUCAGAAACCCCUGAGACUCAGUGACACACUGUGAAGUCUUCUCGAUCAGUGCUGACAGCGUGUGAUAGGGUGAUGUUGGGCUGUUUGAAGGUGUCAGUGGCAGACUGUUGGGAGUUGGAGGUGUAAGUUGAGUUGUAGAAUCAGCAGUUGCUGGGUUGUGUAACCCCUCACAAGACUGGGUAUUGGUCUCCUUCUGGUAGUUGGCAGUCACAUAAUCAUCGCUGUGAGGUAGUAUAAUCAGAGCCCCUUUAUCUUCAAGCCCAGGAGACUGGAGCUCUGAUGCGUCUCAGUGCAGCAUAACUUAUUUCACUUAUCAUUAAAAC